AUUGAACGCUGGCGGCAGGCCUAACACAUGCAAGUCGGACGGUAGCACAGAGGAGCUUGCUCCUCGGGUGACGAGUGGCGGACGGGUGAGUAAUGUCUGGGGAUCUGCCCGAUAGAGGGGGAUAACCACUGGGAACGGUGGCUAAUACCGCAUAACGUCGCAAGACCAAAGAGGGGGACCUUCGGGCCUCUCACUAUCGGAUGAACCCAGAUGGGAUUAGCUAGUAGGCGGGGUAGUGGCCCACCUAGGCGACGAUCCCUAGCUGGUCUGAGAGGAUGACCAGCCACACUGGAACUGAGACACGGUCCAGACUCCUACGGGAGGCAGCAGUGGGGAAUAUUGCACAAUGGGCGCAAGCCUGAUGCAGCCAUGCCGCGUGUAUGAAGAAGGCCUUCGGGUUGUAAAGUACUUUCAGCGGGGAGGAAGGCGGUGAGGUUAAUAACCUUGCCGAUUGACGUUACCCGCAGAAGAAGCACCGGCUAACUCCGUGCCAGCAGCCGCCGUAA
rnacentral:rRNA from 1 species